GCUCUUAGUUCAGUCACUCGGUGCGCGAUGUGUUACUCGCUGUGCGGCGGGGACCGCGACGAUCCCGGGUCGCCGUUGGCAGCGGCGGCGGCGGCGGCAGCAGCAGCAGCAGCAGCAGCCCGGGUGGCGGCGCGGACCCCGAGUGCCCGGGCGCACCCCGGCACCCCGGAGCGCGGCGCGGCGGCGGGACCGGUGCGGCCGCGCGCGCCUUAAGCUCGGCCCCGCGGCUCGGGGACCCCGACUCCCGGCCCAGCCAGCGAGUCCCCAGGCGCCGCCCGAGAGCCCGGGAGGCAAGCGGCCGCGGGGAGCCGGGCCAGGGGGCGGCCACCGCCCGCGCCGGGCAUCCUCUGGGGCCCGGGAGCGCGGAGGGCGCUGCGCCACCGCGCGGUGCCGGCCCCCGCGGGCCUCCCCCGACCUUCCCCACCUCCUGGGCCCGAGGGACGCGGGCUCGGGCGGGCGAGCAGGGGGUAGGGUGGGGGGGCGGGGAGGGAGCCGCCCCCGCCCGCGCCCCCUCCGCUGUCCCGCGGCUCCUCCACCGCGGGCCGGGCGGCGCGGCCUGAGACGCCGGCGAUGGCGAGCCCGCCGCUGCACGGGCCCCCCGGGCCGGCGGGUGGCGACGGCCCCAACCUCAACAACAACAACAACAACAACAACCACAGCGUGCGCAAGUGCGGCUACCUGCGCAAGCAGAAGCACGGCCACAAGCGCUUCUUCGUGCUGCGCGGGCCCGGCGACGAGGCGGCGGCGGCGGGCGGGGGGCCGGCGCCGCAGCCGCCGCGGCUCGAGUACUACGAGAGCGAGAAGAAGUGGCGGAGCAAGGCGGGCGCCCCGAAGCGGGUCAUCGCGCUCGACUGCUGCCUGAACAUCAACAAGCGCGCCGACGCCAAGCACAAGUACCUGAUCGCGCUCUAUACCAAGGACGAGUACUUCGCCGUGGCGGCCGAGAACGAGCAGGAGCAGGAGGGCUGGUACCGCGCGCUCACCGACCUGGUCAGCGAGGGCCGCGCGGGCGCCGGCGACGCGCCCCCCGCCGCCGCCGCCACCGCCGCGUCCUGCAGCGCCUCCCUGCCCGGCGCCCUGGGCGGCUCGGCCGGCGCCGCCGCGGCCGAUGACAGCUACGGGCUGGUGGCGCCCGCCUCGGCCGCCUACCGCGAGGUGUGGCAGGUGAACCUGAAGCCCAAGGGCCUGGGCCAGAGCAGGAACCUGACGGGCGUGUACCGCCUGUGCCUGUCGGCGCGCACCAUCGGCUUUGUGAAACUUAACUGUGAGCAGCCGUCGGUGACGCUACAGCUCAUGAACAUUCGCCGCUGCGGCCACUCGGACAGCUUCUUCUUCAUCGAGGUGGGCCGGUCGGCCGUCACGGGCCCAGGUGAGCUGUGGAUGCAGGCCGACGACUCGGUGGUGGCGCAGAACAUCCACGAGACCAUCCUGGAGGCCAUGAAGGCGCUCAAGGAGCUCUUCGAGUUCCGGCCGCGCAGCAAGAGCCAGUCGUCGGGCUCGUCCUCCACACACCCCAUCAGCGUCCCUGGCGCGCGCCGCCACCACCACCUGGUCAACCUGCCCCCCAGCCAGACGGGCCUGGUGCGCCGCUCGCGCACCGACAGCCUGGCCGCCACCCCGCCGGCAGCCAAGUGCAGCUCGUGCCGGGUGCGCACGGCCAGCGAGGGCGACGGCGGCGCGGCGGCGGCGGGGCCCGGGGCGGCGGGCGGCAGGCCCGUGUCGGUGGCCGGGAGUCCCCUGAGCCCCGGGCCGGUGCGAACGCCCCUGAGCCGCUCACACACCCUAAGCGGCGGCGGCGGCGGCUGCGGCGGCCGCGCGGGCAAGGUGGCGCUGGCGCCGGCAGGGGGCGCCCUGCAACACAGCCGCUCCAUGUCCAUGCCCGUGGCGCACUCGCCCCCAGCAGCCACCAGCCCUAGCAGUCUGUCGUCCAGCAGCGGGCACGGCUCCGGCUCCUACCCGCCGCCUCCGGGCCCACACCCGCACCUGCAGCACCCCCUGCACCAGCCCGCGAGCCAGCGGCCCUCCAGCGGCAGCGCCUCGGCCUCGGGGUCCCCCAGCGACCCCGGCUUCAUGUCUCUGGACGAGUACGGCUCCAGCCCUGGGGACCUGAGAGCCUUCUGCAGCCACCGGAGCAACACGCCGGAGUCCAUUGCCGAGACGCCCCCGGCCCGGGACGGCAGCGGGGGCGAGCUGUACGGGUACAUGACCAUGGACCGGCCCCUGAGCCACUGUGGCCGCCCCUACCGCAGAGUCUCCGGGGACGGGGCCCAGGACGUGGACAGAGGCCUGAGGAAGCGGACGUACUCCCUGACCACACCUGCCCGGCAGCGGCCCGUGCCCCAGCCCUCCUCUGCGUCCCUGGACGAAUACACCCUGAUGCGGGUCUCCUUCUCUGGCAGCUCCGGCCGCCUCUGCCCGUCCUGCCCCGCCUCGUCUCCCAAAGCGGCCUACCACCCCUACCCCGAGGACUACGGGGACGUCGAGAUCGGCUCCCACAGGAGCUCCAGCAGUAACCUGGGCACGGACGACGGCUACAUGCCCAUGACCCCUGGCGCGGCCCUCACGGGGGGUGGCAGUGGCAGCUGUAGGAGUGACGACUACAUGCCUAUGAGCCCCACCAGCGUGUCCGCCCCAAAGCAGAUCCUGCAGCCUCGGGCUGCCGCUGCGGCCUUGCCCCCCGCGGGAGCGCCGGUGUCCACGCCUGCGGCCGGCAGGGCCUUCCCGGCCAGCGGGGGCAGCUACAAGGCGAGCUCCCCGGCGGAGAGCUCCCCCGAGGACAGCGGUUACAUGCGUAUGUGGUGUGGCUCCAAGCUGUCCAUGGAGAACGCAGACAGCAAGCUGCUGCCCAACGGGGACUACCUCAACAUGUCCCCCAGCGACGCGGGCGCCUCGGGGACCCCUCCCGACUUCUUCUCGGCCGCCUUGCAUGGCAGCGGGGAGACGCUCAGGGGAGUGCCCGGCUAUUGCCACAGCUCCCUGCCCCGCUCCUACAAGGCUCCCUACACCUGCAACGGGGACAACAACGACCAGUAUGUGCUCAUGAGCUCUCCGGUGGGGCGCAUCCUGGAAGAGGAGAGGCUGGAGCCGCCGGCCAGCCCGGGGACCGCGACAUCCAGCGGCUGCGGCGGUGGCGACCACGCCCAGCCUCCUCACCCAGCAGUGCCUUCGCCUGGCAGGCCAGGUGGCAGCGUUGGCGGCCGCCCAGAGGGCUUCCUGAACCAGCGCUGCCGGGCUGUGCGGCCCACGCGCCUGUCCCUGGAGGGGCUUCAGACCCUGCCCAGCAUGCACGAGUACCCGCUGCCGCCCGAGCCCAAGAGCCCUGGCGAGUACAUCAACAUUGACUUCGGCGACGCGGGAGCUCGCCUGUCACCUCCCGCGCCCCCGCUGCUGGCCUCGGCCGCCUCGUCGUCCUCGCUGCUGUCCGCCAGCAGCCCGGCCUCCUCCCUGGGCUCGGGCACCCCGGGCACUAGCGGCGACAGCCGACAGCGCUCCCCGCUGUCCGACUACAUGAACCUCGACUUCAGCUCGCCCAAGUCACCCAAGCCGGGCCCCCAGGGCGGGGACCCCGUGGGCUCGCUGGACGCCCUCCUGUCCCCCGAGGCCUCCUCCCCCUACCCGCCGCUGCCCCCGCGCCCUGUGGCGCCCGCCUCUGCCCUGCAGCCGCAGCCGCUGCCGCCGCCCCCUCCAGGCGAGCUGUACCGCCUGCCCCCCGCCCCCGCCGCCCAGGGCCCCAGCGCUGCCUCCUCGUCGUCCUCGGAGACUGGGGACAAUGGUGACUACACCGAGAUGGCCUUCGGCGUGGCUGCCACCCCGCCGCAACCCAUCGCCGCCCCCCCGAAGCCGGAAGGUGCCCGCGUGACCAGCCCCACGUCCGGCGUCAAGAGGCUGAGUCUCAGGGAUCAAGUGUCGGGAGUGGAGGCCUUCCUGCAGGCCAGCCAGCCCCCGGACCCGCACCGGGGGGCCAAGGUCAUCCGCGCAGACCCGCAGGGGGGCCGCCGCCGCCACAGCUCCGAGACCUUCUCCUCGACCACCACUGUGACCCCCGUGUCCCCGUCCUUCGCCCACAACCCGAAGCGCCACAACUCGGCCUCCGUGGAAAACGUCUCUCUCAGGAAAAGCAGCGAAGGGGCCGGCGGCGGCGGCCUGGCUGGGGGCGACGAGCGCCCCACGUCCCCCCGCCAGCUGCAGCCACCGCCCCCCCAGCAGGGGCGGCCGUGGCUACCGAGUCAGCUGGGGGGCUUGGUCGGGUGCCCCGGGGGCAGCGGCUCUCCGAUGCGCAGGGAGACCUCUGCCGGCUUCCAGAACGGCCUCAACUACAUCGCCAUCGACGUGAGGGACGAACCUGGGCUGUCGCCCGGCCCGCAGCAGCUUCCGCAUCCGCAGCCGGGAGACAAGAGCGCCUGGGGCCGGACCCGUAGCCUGGGGGGUCUCCUCAGCGCGGUGGGGGGCAGCAGCACCGGUGGGGUGUGCGGGGGGGCCGGCCCUGGCGCCCUGCCCUCUGCCAACACCUAUGCCAGCAUUGACUUCCUGUCGCAUCACCUGAAGGAGGCCACCAUUGUGAAAGGUGAGGCCCUUGGAAUCUUGCGGAGGGUCGGCGGGAGGCAGGGUGGGAUGGCCCGGGAGAGGGCCGCUCUGGCUUCACCACCAUCCGCUCCUUUGGUACCUGGACACAAGCGCCAAAAUACUGGACGAGCCGCCUUGUUUUGCUUUCCUCUUGGCUCCCCCGGCUUCCUUCUUCGCCAAACAGCCGCAGAGGCCCAGUGGUCUUUGAGUUGAAUGUGCAGCUUCGCACCCAGGAGGCUGGGAUUCAGUUGUUUGGGCCCCGCCCCCUUGUUCUUUUCCCACCGCCUCUCUCCUCCUCCUUCACAGGGCAGGGCCAGUCCCGCCCCCCCUCCCCGAUUUAGCCCCCCCCCCCCCCCCCCCAGAGUGCCCGCUGGUGGUUCUUGCCCUGGAGUCCUGACUGCUCCCUCACCUUUCUCUUUGUUUUCCUGAAACCAGGUCCCCCCUGAUUUCUGCUGAGCCUCAGAGUUUACAAAAACAAGUCUGAAAGUCAUUUGGAAAAUGAGCAUCCAUUUUGGUGGCUGCAACAGGGAACAGUUAGUUAACUGUUUCAGUUUUGCAAGUAAACUGCAGGGCUUUUCCUUAAGGGAGACUCUCUUUCUCCUGAGGGUCUGCAACGGUGACAGUGUUUAAAUACCACACCAAGGCAGUGGUUCUCAAACUUGAGCCUGCCCGGGAGUCACCUGGUCUGUGUUUGCUAGAAACCUGGAGGGCUGGGCCGUGUCAAGCCCCAGAGAUUCUGAUGCAGCAGGUCUAGGGUGUGGCUUAGAAUGUGCAUUUUUAAGAAAUUCCCAGGCUAUGCGGAUGCUGUUGGGGGGAUGCUGUAUGUGUGUGUGUGGGGGGGGGGGCAUCCUCUGAGAACUGUGUCCUGUGUUCGACUCACCUGAGGAGGUUCAAGGAAUGGGCCUCACCCAGGGCGCACUCAAGCAAAGCACCCAGUGGGCAGAGCCCAGGCACCAGUUCUCAGAGUUUGCCCAGAGGAUGUUACCGUGCAGUCGGGCUUCAGAAUCAGUGCUUUAGAGAAAACGGGCGGGAGACAACAGCACUGGUGUUUUCAAGUCCGAGAGCCUGGUGUCCCGUGGUGUUGUUCACAGUCCAUUAAAUAUCCAUGAGGAGAGAGCGGUGUGUUUGCUCUGCCGCUGGUGGUGUAGACUGGGCUGGGGGCAGAGGGGGUGAAUGUUCAAUUCACAAGUUUCUAGUUAUGGAUCUUUCUGCGGGGCGGGGAGGUUGCUGCUAGGAAGGUGGAAGCUGUGUGGGAACCCGAAAGCCGUGAGAGUGGUGUUAGGUGGAUGUUGGCCGAAGGUCAGCAGUCUGCAGCGGAUCCAGGGUGAUGGUCGAGGUGGCUUGGGAAUCCGCACACCUUUUGUCGGUAAAGUACACAGACCGGCCGAAUGCUAAGUCCGCCAUAAGGCUUGUAACAUGCCUGGGACCUGUAGUCCGUGGGAUUUAACAGCACGGCUAUGGAGUAAACAGCCUGUUCUAAUAUAAAAGGAAGAGCUCUUUACUUUUUUGUUAAAACCAUAGAAUGAAAGGUGGAAAGAGUCCUAGAGAAUUGUCAGGAAUAUGGUGCUUGAGCGUGGAAUUAAAUCAGUUGGAACUUGUCAGACUGUGCCCCGUCAACGACGACUCUCAACUAAAGGUCACUUUGUUCGCAGUUCAGUUAGGCGGUCCAGGUACUUCUGAAAAAUUGCUACUGUGCCCUGAAGUUGGAGGACGAGUAAAGUCUAGGACCCAGACCAUAGAAACACACCAGCGUGACCGGAAUUGAGUGGAAAAAAGAGACAAACACACAAAAGUUAUUGUCGUGUGCCCAAAUGGGUCUAUGCCUUAGUGAACACGAAAGCACACUUUGCUGAAAUCUGAUUCUCAUCAGAGAAGCAAAGCAGCCUGAGAACCUAACACCUAAACCUAAGCUUUGGGUGAAGUAGGCGGCCAAAACCCGGCCUGGAGUCGGAGGGCCCCGGAGCGGGCUUCUGCAGAAGCAGGAGUGAGCAGGGGGUUUGUGUCUGCAAGCCGAAAAGGGUUCAAGGCCUUUCUGAUAAAGGAGAUACAUUCAGAAACGUGAUUCAUGUAUGAUAUAAUGCCCUUUCCAGACUCGGGAUCAUUUUAAGCUGCGGGAGAUAAGUCGAGCCAGAGACCUGAUUUUAGCUGCUUCUGUGUUCCCACCAGUAUAAAAUUCCUUUCAACCUAUAGGAUUCAGGACUGAAGCCGGAACCGCAGUUCAGAUGCCCCGGAGUGGCUGAGCAAAGAUGAGAUCCGAUUUGGUUGCUGGUUUUCCAGAGUCUCUGUGAGCACUGUGGUCAACACCCUUUUAAGAAGGAAAAGGACUAUUUUUAAGCAAAAUCGAGAGCUGCAGUUGACCCAUUGUGCCAAAACCGGUCUGUGAGGAGCACCCCAUGAUAAAUGGAUUUCUAGUAAGCUCCUUUGACACAGAGAACAGGAGGCUAGGAAAGACAAGGAUGUGGGCUUAAUUCACGUGGAACCUGAACUGUGGUCUGCAGAGCCAGGAGGGAAACGUUUAGAAACUCCAGAUGAACGUCCACUGUUAUUUAACUCACGUGUGGCUGUAGAAAUUUUGUGCAUGGUGCUCAUAAAUACGAAGUUCAUGGGAGAUAAGCGUCCUUUGGGAGAAUGAUUUAUAGCAGGAGGACUUGGAAAGCAUUUCUUUGAAGAUGAAGUGGGAAAAGAGCUCCCGGGUCAUCGCAUGAGCUGGCCGGGCUCUGGGAAGUGGUGUGUGUGUCCCUGCCGAGUUCCUGGAGCUCCACACGGAGACACGUCGUUAAUUAUGCCAGAGCAGAAUAGUCUGGGGUCAUUUGCAUAGGGGUUGGCAUUUGCAUGAGUGGUAACAAAGACGUAAGGUUCCUGUAGCCAGCCUUUGGUAGUUGUUUACCAUAGAAUUGGGGAUGGGGGAUUAUAGUGCUAGAACCAAAGACACAGUUAAUGCACCCUCGGGGUGUGUGUGUGUGUGUGUGUGUGUGUGUGCAUGUGUGCAUGUUCUGCAUUAACACACGAUAAUAGCAUGUAUAAUACAAUCGUUGUGUAUUGAUCCAGAGCAAGUAAAAACUGAACUCUAAAUUCUGCGUCUCACUAAGGGAGCAAGGGAGGGUACUUACCGUGUGUUUUGUGUGUGUAUGUGCAGGAAAGUCUAACCAAUCUGUCAGAGUGUUGUUGUUUGGGACCUGGAAAUGUAAUACUGAAUCUAUGCUUUAAAACAGCAUGUAAAAAUUCAUUUUAUACAUUUUUGUGCUAUGAUGAUAGAUUGGUGUGUAUUAUGAAAGGUGCUGUCUUAGUGUUCCUCUUUAGCGGGAUUUUUAUUCUAAAAUUGGUUUUUGUGUACGAGUAAGGCAGAUUAGACAAGAAUGACCACUGAAAGCAUCUGCCGUUUAAAUUUUGUUUGAUAUAAGGACCAUAUAUUCAUGUCCUAGGGUCAGAGAAGUUGGGGGUAAGAGGAAGGUUUCCAAAGGUACAGUACAGUCCCAAUUUAUGUUUAAAAAGAUUGCCUGUUGAAGUCUUAAAACAAAGAACUUGAAUAUUUUUAGCACUCCAGUGAGAUUGCUUGACCACAUGCCCUUUAUUUUUCUGUCGGGCGUGCUUUCCCUGCUUCGGUCGGCCAGCUCUUGUCGAAAUAAGAUAAUAAGGAGCACCGCUCCUGCCCUGUUCCCGGGAACAGACAGCCAAGGUGCUUAUGAAAACACACAGGCUUUCGUGAAUGAAAGUCACGUGACUUGUUCUAUUUCCUUUAUUGAAAGAGAAACCUUUACGAAAAUAGUACUUCGUAGAAGGAAGCAUAGUAUGUGGAACAUUAAACCAGGAAUCAGGAAACCAGGUUUCUGGUUGCUGAUCUUAAUGAGUCAUUGUGUGACAGAGGGAAACCAUUUAAUCCCUGGUUCUCACUUUCUCUGUCUGUAAAAUGGGGCAAUUAUAGCCCUCUCCCUCCUGUGUCCUUGGCCCCCGGGAGGUCCAGGAGAUCAUAAAAAUCAGGAACAGUUAAAAUGCUCUUCCAAAGGAUCGUGCUGGUAAAUCCAAUGAUGUUGUUGGUACUACCUUGAAACCGUGAGUGUUUAUAGGAAACUCACUUUUGUCAAUGAGUGUUCUUAAAAAAACAACAACAAACAACAACUCCUAGUCCCCUGAAAAUGGAGCAAAUACCUUUUUAAGAAUUGCAUGCCUUUUCUGCUUGACUGCCGCUUCCACUCCAGUCUCCAAGAACCACGUUUUCGCCCUCUUUAUUUAACUUGAGAUUUUGUUCGCAGAUAAUUAUCAAUUGCAAUGGAGUGGCGUUUUAAAUUACAUCGCAGAAUAACAACUGAGGAAAAUAGCAUCCUCCUGCUGAAACUCCAUGAAGACCGUACUUUUGAUUACCUUCUUUCUGUGACUUGUUUACAUACCAAGACAUACUGUCACCAUGAAAAUUGAGAACUAGAAUGAACCUACAGUGUUUUAAUUGAUAGUGUGGGCUCUUCGUGCGGGAUGUAUCAAAAGAAAACACAGAACCCGUCAACUUGCAGCUGCUGAAUCCAGUGCUGGGCCUGGGGCUUCAGUUUUCCGGUUGAUUCGGUUAGGGUGGCCACUGCUGUGUGCUUUGGAUUCGUUUGGUCGUCAGACACCGUAGGAACACCUCCACUGUUUGAUUCGUUUACUCUUCUGCGGGCCCGUGCCUCCUGAAGAGGAAUUUUAAUAGAGAACUAACGUGCUGUUUUCUUUAGAGUUCUCUGUAUCAAGUGAAUCUGUGUCUCUUUUUCUGAAGAGGAGAACUUCAGCAGUUUUAGUCACAGCAUGGGCAAAGUGGGCUUUCUGUUAAGAAUUCCCACUAAUGCAUUUUCUGUAGAAGGGUAGCUCCAGGAGCUAGUUAACUAGGGUAUCAGAUUUGGCAAGUGGAGAGGGUUUUGUUGUUGUUGUUGUUUUGGUUUUGGGGGUAGCGCAGAAUCCAGUCGUCCUGUCUCACCUCAGAAACUUAAGGGAAAAUGCAACUUUACUCUUUCAUCUGCCGUGCCAAGUAGAGUGGGGGAAAAACUCAGAGGGAAAUAGCACGGGCCCCCGAAGCCAGCUCUUGAGCAAGUCCACGAAUAAUAGGGGAAUUCUCUGUAGAUUUUCUCUCCUGCAGACAUGAAUAGAAUGCAUAUUUCUGGACAAACUGAGCAAGGCGUUGUCACGUUGGCAUUUUAAUGAGCAAAUGAAAACAAAGUGUUCUGAACCUCUAAAGUGAUCAGUUACAAACAAGCAUGUUUAUUGAUCAGGUGGUGGGUUUCGUGAAAACAGCACCAGCCUCAUCUAAAGGGGGAGGCGCGGUGUUUGUUUUAUUCACCCGAAUGCGUCCUUCAAGAUUGCAGUGUUCUUGGUUUGGUUUGGUUUGGUUUUGUUAGUAAUUGUUGAAGGUAGAUCGGUGGAGACCGGGUUCAGUGGUGGGUUCUCUUCUGACAACCGUUGAAGGGAAAUGCUUCAGUCGGUAAUUGCUAGUGACGAUUCGAGUUGUUUCUAGAGAGCCCCAGAGACGUGUGUGUUGACUGCACUGAAACGAGAGGCUCAGAGGGAAGUUUGAGGAGAAGCAGCUGAACUGCAUGUUGUACGCUGGCAUCUCGCUCCGUGAGUGUGGAUGACACAGGACCCUUCUGUGCGCGGUGCUUUCGCUGCUUGACUGAAUUCAUCGCAUGCGCAUGCUGAGAUGGAAUUGGGCUAAAAUUUCAAGGCUGCGUGUUUACCAGAGAUAAAAUACAGUCCGGUCAGCGGUUCCGAUUUCUUGGACUAGAAAAUUAUAAAAUUGGCACGAGGUUGCUUUUACGUGCGCAGGGACAUUGUGAAACUUGACGGCGUAAAUGUGCCUUCAGAUGUGGCCCUGUUUUCUUGUGCCGCACGUGAUAUUCGUGCCCACAGACAAGAUUUAAAAAACACUCCUUCCUUACUGUGUUUUUGCUGAAAUUUGCAAUAUCUGGUCAGAUACUGUGGUACAUCAUAUACUUUCAAGAUAAAUGACCACAUGUGUAGCACUUUGUAAAUACUCGUGGGUUUCUUAGUAUUGAUUGUAAGGAGUAUCAAAUUUUCCAGAAGUAAAUAUUGGGGGGGGGGGUCCAUUUCUAAUGUAGUCAUGUUCCAAGAGGCUUGGCGUGAAUUUUUUUUUUAAUUGAGAUUCAGCUACUGAAUAGUGACGUGUACUCUAAUCGUGUUAAAACUUUAUAACCUGAAGUAUAAUUAUAAUCUUACUGCUGCUUUGAUCCAUCCAUAUGGUAGUGGUAUAAACGCUUGAGUGGAUUGUUAGAGUCUAGUAUUAAAUUUCAGUGUUUUCAAUGGCUAAAAAGGGAUUAUGGCAGAUUCCGUUAUAUUAUGUGAUUUUAAUUGUUACCUUAGGUUCCAUGUUUAGCUGACGAUGAUUUAUGCUUUUACAUGGUAUUAACGCAUAAUCUUUAAUACUUAUGAACGUGAUACCAAGCUCCCUCCAUGCAGAUUUAAAAGGAGUUACUUAAAUCAGAUCAUCUUUUGGCUCCAAACUGCGUGUAACAAUACCAAAACUGAUGGACAAUGAAUGAAUUUGAAAGAGGCAGCUGGGGUUGGAGAUGCUGAAUUGAAAAUGUAUCCGUUGUCGUGAUCAAUACCAAAAGAUUAAUGCGUGCCCCAUCCCCUUUUAGGUCAAAAGAAUUGUGUAAAAUCCAGAAAGUGUUUUUCUUUGCUUCAUAGCGUGGAGACAUUUUCUUACCUAUGUUACCACAUGGUAUUUCAUAAUCUGGUGACGUGGGCUGGGCCACUUCUUGGGAAUGCGGAAUCUGCAGCUUCGAGAGGCCGGGGGACUCACCCAAAGGUUCCCUGAGCCACAAGGUGAACUGGGGAAGGGUUCUGAUGGACCAGCAUUGUCUUGCGUUCUGCCUGGGAGCACCUGAUCCCCAGCCAGUGCUGUUUACAUGAGAUCAGGUUGUCUCCAAGUCCUACACCCCCGGCUGUGCUUUGGAAGCUCCCAGCAAUCGUUACAUUCCGGUUUUUAUGUAGACCAGCCUCAGCGCAACUUUCAAGGUAACAUUUUGUUUUUGAUUUCACUUGGGUGACAGUUACUUAAUUUCUCUCUUCUUUCCUCGGGGCAUUUAUCCAUCUGGAGUACAAUGCUGGCAGUCAGGCAGGAAGGGCAUGGAAGGAAAGCCCCCUAAUUGUUUUAAACCAGUUUUAACACCUGGCGGUGAGAAGCGCUUAGAAUUGGAUAGGACUUUGACGGCUGUCAUUGUGUCUGUGGAUUCUCGAGUUGUUGCCGGUCGUUGGCCGCUCUUCUGUUCUGGGGGUUUCCAGUCUCCCUUCCUCGUCGUCUGCACCCACAAGACUCCUGUUCCUCUAGCUGAUUUCAUUUCAGCAAAGCCAACUGUGGAUUAUGCUUGAUAAGAUCCCGCCCCGCCCUGCCCUCCAACCAAAUAUGUUAAAAGUCUUUCCACGCUGUGUGGACACAAUCAGAAGAGAAUACAAGGAUGCUUUGAGUGAGGGAGAAGGGCUGGGAACCAUGAGUAUCCUGUAACUCCCUUAAGGUUGUGAGCACAGAGGCCGAGGGAGGUCAGACGUCUUCUCCAAGGUCACCAUUUAAUUGGUUGGUAGAAAUGUGUGUAAAUAUUAUCAAGAAAGAACAGAGUAUGCUCUGUGUCUGUGGUCCUUUGUGUGCUGAUGAAUAACUUUCUCCCAAGAUACAUCCCAUUCCCUUCAGAACAACCCAGCCUCUAUGGAAGUGGUAUUCUGUCUUUUUUACUUUAGGACGUCUUAGUAAACUGCUUCAUACACAGCCUAACGGGUCCACAGGCAGACAGAGAGACAGGCUGAGGCACCUAAAUAAGGAAGUGUGGUGGAAAUUAGGGAAACACCGCGGCUCACGGCCAUGUGGGCAGUGUUUACUGGUGAGGUAGAAGGAGCGAAGGUUUGGCAAACAUUCAAGAUCAUGUGCUUGCUUGUUAAAAAAAAGAAAGCAAGAAAAGAGAAGAAGAAAAUUCUUGGGGUGAUUCAAAUGGAAAAGCCUCUAUUAUCUGGGAAAAUAGUGAGGAUCUGUCUGGCUUUAUCACCGUGACGUCACGCAUCAGAGAAUGACUUUCAAAGAAGAUGCUCACUGUUUUGUUUUUGUUUUUGUUUUUUUUUAAAAUCUGAAGCUGCUUACAAAUUUUCUUUUGGAUCUGAGCAAUGACUACAUUUUGGAACAUCUACGACUGUAUUAGACUCUGAACCCCCCAGGCGAGGACACCUGCCUCUCCCCCUGGUUCCCACAGGGGGCAUUCGUCAUUCUGCUGCUCGUGCUGUGUUUCAUUUGUUUUUUUAACAAAAUUCGCCGAAGAAGGUAUUCUCAAGAAAAUCGGAUGUUUCCAUUGGCCCUUUAAAUUGUGGCCGGUGUCUUAAUUUCUUCUCACUUUCGUUUUGGCAAAGCAGAUUUAUCCCUCAGCAUGCUGGGAGAUGCUACCAACACCCAUGGAAGUGGGGCAAUCUGGUAUUUACUGGCAUGCACUCAAAACUACCACAGUCCUACCUCAGUUCCAGGUGAAGCCGGAUUUGUGUGGCCGGGGGCCGGCAGGACCUCCUGUACAUAGAUGUCUGCUGAGUGUCUCGAGUGCGGCCUUCAGCCUUAUUUAACUGGUCCCAGGAAACAGCGGCUCCGUGGAUCCAGUCCAGGUACCUGCGUGUUUACUCAGCCAGAGCCCAGCGUGGGACUGACACUUCUCAACGGAAAUGCAAUUUGGGAUUGGACUUUGAAGAUGGAUUCAUAAAUAAUAAUAAUAAUAAUUAUAUGUAACUGAAGCAACCUACUUUUGAAAAUCAUCAACUGUAUUGGGUAGCGGGGGGGGGGUGGGGAGGGGUUUGGGGAGGGGGUGAAUAUAUCUUUUUACCUUUAACAGACUUGUUUAAUCUUCUCUGCGUAGACGUUUAUGUAGGUACAUCAGAUUGCAAAAGCCUUUGAUCCUAUUUAUAAGCUCAAAUGUCUCUGCUACCCUGACUCUCGAGCCUGCGUUUCCUUAACCAAAAAUUCACGUAGGCAUGCUAGCGAUUCACGGGUGGUCGCGGCUUUGGCAGAUUUUACAAAAAUGUGUUAUCUUUACUCCAUGCUACCGUGUCGGCCAACGAGGCUGCCCUGAGCAACAAUACAAAAAAAAAAAAAAAAAAAAAGAAAAAAAAUUAAAAAACGAAAGGGAAGGAAAGAAAUUGAUAAAAGAGGUAUUCCGGCCCCUGUGUCGUUAAGGGAAGAAGAAAGAAAAGACGACAGAGAACGUCACGUUACAUGUGACUUGUCGAGAAAACUUCCUGACGAGACUACCCUCAUUUUAUAUUUUCAGUGUUCUGAAAAGAUCGGUGUUGCGGUAAUCAUUGCAGGGGUCAUCCGAAACUGCUAACCUUGACCGGCAGAAUGUCCCGUCGUCUUGCUGCCCCACCUGACAGAGGGCUAUAGACCUUCCUCCCGCGGGCACGUCCGUGUCCGUGCUCCCCGUCUGCUCGGAUGGUCCCGGAGAGGCUACACUAAUUCAUUGGAGAUGUGAGCUUUUUUUUUUUUCUUUUUGGAGAAAAAUAUAUAUAAAUAUAUAGAUAUAUAUCACUAUAGAAUAAUGCAUUAAUAAAAUGAGGCUUUUUUAGAGGAAGACCAAAAAAUUCAAUGUCUUAAAAAUAUAUUUAAUGGCAAUGCAAAAGUCUUCCUGCUUCCGUGCUGAACUUUUAGAACAGAGGAUUGUAUUGCAAGACAAAGUUGAAUGUAAAGUGACCCCCCCGAACAUUUUUAAAGUUUUACUUUUCUAAAAUUACACAUCACAACAGUGUAUAGACCAUACGAUGUUAGUUUGAAGGUCGAUUUCAGUGUAUAAUACAGAUACUUUAUUAAAAUGUAUAAAAACGCCCCAAAGUUUGGAUUUCGUUUUGGGACUCGGGAUCGAUGGGUGGUAUUUGCUAUGUAACCCGCCCCCCUCCACCCCACCCCCUCCCCCGGGUACAGUGGGACUGACUCUGGACCCUGCUGGAUACAGUGUAUGAUGUGUAUUUAAGUAGUCCUCUAUACUUAGAGUAGUCACGCCUCUAUACAAAUGGUUCACGUUCAGACUGCCGCUUACAACAAGCAAAAUAAAAAGUUGAUAAUAUACUAAAUUUUCCUCCAUCCUGUACAUUUCAAAAAGAAAAAAAGGCAUAUGCAAUAUUUACACUUUUAAUUUAGUUUACAGAAUGGAACCAAAAUGUAUAAACGUUAUGUUUGCUAAAACUUCGCAAUGUAUAUUGGGUCUUUGUACAUUUUGCCUGACUUACCUUAAAUUUAAAAUAUUUUUUGCUAUAUAAACUUUAACAGUUAUUAAACAGUGUUUUCUUUUUGGGUACGUAUUGUUUCUGGAUAUCAAGAUGUUAAAUAUAUUUCUUGCUAUUGUGAUAUGACAAAAGACUUAACCUUGGUCUGUCUUCCAUUGUACACGCUGUAUAUAAGGGUCGAUGUGACGUUGCUGGAGACAGCAAUAAAUGGAAUUAGAAUAGUGCACUGUAUUUAGUCUGUCUUGAUCAUGGAUGCUCUCCUUAACAGCCAUAUGCAAUAAAAUAAAAUACGUUAUUUAUGAAACGG